ACCCUAUUAUUAUAAUUGUAUUAAUAUUACUAAGGUAGUAGUAGCUAUGUUCUUGAAACUUAAAAAAUUUGGCGGUAUUUUAAUCUAUUCAGAGGAACCUGUUCUGUAAUCGAUAAUCCACGAUGGACCUAACUUAAAUUUGUAUAUCAGUUUAUAUAUCGUUGUUAUAAAAAUUUUUAAAGAAUAAUUAAUUUUUAAUAUUUUUAAUAAAAGUUAAUAUCAAAUCAAGGUGUAGCUUAUAUUUAAGUAGAAAUGGGUUACAAUAAAGUUAUUUAUGGAUAUAAAUAUGAAAAAUUUAUUGAAAAUGGAUUUGAAAGUAAAAUUAUAAAGAUAAGUAAUUUGAAUUUAGCUCUAAAAUAUGUACAUAUCGCCCGUCACUCUUAUUACUAAGGUAAGAUAAGUCGUAACAAA
rnacentral:rRNA from 1 species